UGGGGAAUAUUGGGCAAUGGGGGAAACCCUGACCCAGCGACGCCGCGUGAGGGAAGAAGGUUUUCGGAUUGUAAACCUCUGUCCUUGGUGACGAUAAUGACGGUAGCCAAGGAGGAAGCCACGGCUAACUACGUGCCAGCAGCCGCGGUAAUACGUAGGUGGCGAGCGUUGUCCGGAAUUACUGGGUGUAAAGGGAGCGUAGGCGGGAGAGCAAGUCGACUGUGAAAGCUAUGGGCUUAACCCAUAGAUGCGAUCGAAACUGUUCAUCUUGAGUGAAGUAGAGGCAGGCGGAAUUCCUAGUGUAGCGGUGAAAUGCGUAAAUAUUAGGAGGAACACCAGUGGCGAAGGCGGCCUGCUGGGCUUUAACUGACGCUGAGGCUCGAAAGCGUGGGGAGCAAACAGGAUUAGAUACC
rnacentral:rRNA from 1 species